GAACCCUAAUUUAUGACCAUGCUAUCACCUACAAAAUGGAACAAAUUGACUGAUUCAUUUUGGGAGAUAACAGUCGGGACCCUGCCUCACCACGAGGUGUUGUCGAUGAGUUAGGUUGUUUGGGAAUGCAUCCCUAAUCGGGUGGUAAAUUCCGUCCAAGGAUAAAUACGGGUGAGAUAACGAUAGAGAACAAUUACCGUGAGGGAAAGAUGAAAAGGACUUUGAAAAGAGAUUUAAAGAGUGCUUAAAAUUGUCGGGAGGGAUGUGGAUGGAGGCCAAUGAUGUGUCUCGGUCAGAUGUGGAAUGACUCAAGUGGGUCCACCACUCAACUCAAUGUGCGAACCAACACAUGUAUGUGCAUCAGACCAAGUGUGGGUGGAGUAUUUCUUGUUCAUUUUUUGUUGUGGCAGUCGAGGAAAGACGCGUGCACCCCUUGGGGUGGGCCACUAUGCACCUGCAUGCUCGUGGUGUUGGUUGGUGGGCUUUCCAUUUGAACCAUCUUGAAACAUGGAUGAAGGAUUCUAACAUGUGUGUGAGUCACUGGGUUUGUAAACCUACGAGUUGUAAGGAAGAUGACGGGAGAGAUCCACUCUCUAUGGGGUGCAUUGUCAACCGACUUUGAGCUUGUGUGAAAGGUUUGAGUGCGAGCACACCUGUUGGGACCCGAAAUAUUGUGAACUAUGCCCGAGCAGGGUGAAGCCACAUGAAACUUUGGUGGAGGACCGUAGGGAUACUAACGUGAAAAUCAUUCAUCUAACUUGGCUAUAGGGUUGAAAUACUAAUUGAACCAUCUAGUAGAUUGUUUCCUCCGAAGUUUCCCUCGGGACAAUUGGAGCUCACGUGCGAGUUUUAUCGGGUAAGGAAAAUUAUUAGAGGCAUUGGGGACAUAACACCCUCGACCUAUUCUCAAACUUUAAAUAGGUAAGAUGGUGCGUCUUCUCCAUUGAGUCGUGCCACAUAAUCAAGAGCUCCAAGUGGGCCAUUUUUGGUAAGAAGAACUAGCGAUGCAGGAUGAAUUGAAAUUUGAGUUACGGUGCCAAACUAUGUGCUAACCCAUAUCCCACAAAGGGUGUUGGUUGAUUAAGACAAUAGGACAGUGGUCAUGGAAGUCGAAAUCUUCUAAGGAGUGUAUAACAACUCACCUGUCGAAUCAACUAUCCCUGAAAAUGGAUAGCGCUAAAGCACACGACCUAUACUCGACUGUCGGAGCAAUUUCCAGGCUUCAAUGAGUAGGAGGAAGUGGGGGUCAUUGAGAAAUCUUGGGUGUGAGCCUGGGUGGACUGAUCCCUGGU
rfam:Picea glauca, whole genome shotgun sequence.